GACGGAGGGUGCAAGCGUUGUUCGGAAUUACUGGGCGUAAAGGGCGCGUAUGCGGUCUGUUAAGUUCGGUGUGAAAGCCCCCGGCUCACCUGGGGAACUGCGCCGGAAACCGACAGACUCGAGUACCGGAGAGGAGGGUGGAAUUCCUGGUGUAGCGGUGAAAUGCGUAGAUAUCAGGAGGAACACCGGUGGCGAAGGCGGCCCUCUGGACGGAUACUGACGCUGAGGCGCGAAAGCGUGGGGAGCGAACAGG
rnacentral:rRNA from 1 species